rnacentral:tRNA from 2 species
GCCCCCAUCGUCUAGAGGCCUAGGACGCCACCCUUUCAAGGUGGAGAUCACCGGUUCGAAUCCGGUUGGGGGUACCA